rnacentral:tRNA from 1 species
GAAAAAAAAUUUUUUUUUAUUUAGAA